rnacentral:misc_RNA from 1 species
GAAAUGCGAUAAGUAAUGUGAAUUGCAGAAUUCAGUGAAUCAUCGAAUCUUUGAACGCACCUUGCGCUCCUUGGUAUUCCUUGGAGGAUGCCUGUUUGAGUAUCAUGAAAUCUUCAAAGUAAAUCUUUUGUUAACUCAAUUGGUUUCUACUUUGGUAUUGGAGGUCUUUGCAGCUUCACACCUGCUCCUCUUUGUUCAUUAGCUGGAUCUCAGUGUUAUGCUUGGUUCCACUCGGCGUGAUAAGUUAUCUAUCGCUGAGGACACUGUAAAAGGUGGCCAAGGUAAAUGCAGAUGAACCGCUUCUAAUAGUCCAUUGACUUGGACAAUACUUUUAUGAUCUGAUCUCAAAUCAUGUAGGACUACCCGCUGAACUUAAGC